GCAAGUCGAACGCGAUUUUCUCGGUUAGCAAUAACUGAGGAAAUUGAGUGGCGAAUGGGUGCGUAACACGUGGGAAUUUAUCCGGAAGUGGGGGAUAGCUCGUCGAAAGGCGAAUUAAUACCGCAUAUGCCUGUAAGGGCAAAGUGGGGGACCGCAAGGCCUCACGCUAUCGGAGGAGCCCGCGCCCUAUCAGCUAGUUGGCGAGGUAAUGGCUCACCAAGGCUUAGACGGGUAGCUGGUCUGAGAGGACGACCAGCCACACUGGAACUGAGACACGGUCCAGACACCUACGGGUGGCAGCAGUCGAGGAUUUUUCUCAAUGGGGGCAACCCUGAAGGAGCGACGCCGCGUGGAGGAUGAAGGGCUUCGGCUCGUAAACUCCUGUCACCGACGAACAAGACAUCCGAAUUAAUAACUCGGAUGUUUGAUGGUAGUCGGAGAGGAAGGGGCGGCUAACUCUGUGCCAGCAGCCGCGGUGAUACAGAGGCCCCAAGCGUUGUUCGGAUUUACUGGGCGUAAAGGGUGUGUAGGGGGUUAGGUUAGUCUGACGUGAAAUACCGUUGCUCGACAACGGAACUGCGUCGGAUACUGCCUAGCUAGAGGUUCGGAGAUGAGGGCGGAAUUCUCGGUGUAGCGGUGAAAUGCGUAGAUAUCGAGAGGAACGCCGAUGGCGAAAGCAGCCCUCAAGACGAAAUCUGACCCUGAAACACGAAGGCCAGGGGAGCAAACGGGAUUAGAUACCCCGGUAGUCCUGGCAGUAAACGGUGCUCAUUAGAUGUAGGCGGAUUCGACCCCGCCUGUGUCGAACCUAACGGAUUAAAUGAGCCGCCUGGGAAGUACGGUCGCAAGAUUAAAACU
rnacentral:rRNA from 1 species